rnacentral:rRNA from 1 species
AGAGUUUGAUCAUGGCUCAGAGUGAACGCUGGCGGCAGGCCUAAUACAUGCAAGUCGAACGGCAGCACGACAGAGCUUGCUCUGUGGGUGGCGAGUGGCGGACGGGUGAGGAAUACAUGGGAAUCUGCCCAGUCGUGGGGAUAACGUAGGGAAACUUACGCUAAUACCGCAUGCGCCCUUCGGGGGAAAGCCGGGGACCUUCGGGCCUGGCGCGAUUGGAUGAGCCCAUGUCGGAUUAGCUAGUUGGCGGGGUAAUGGCCCACCAAGGCGACGAUCCGUAGCUGGUCUGAGAGGAUGAUCAGCCACACUGGAAUUGAGACACGGUCCAGACUCCUACGGGAGGCAGCAGUAGGGAAUAUUGGACAAUGGGCGCAAGCCUGAUCCAGCCAUGCCGCGUGAGUGAAGAAGGCCCUCGGGUUGUAAAGCUCUUUUGUCCGGAAAGAAAAGCGCCGGGUUAAUACCCUGGUGUCCUGACGGUACCGGAAGAAUAAGCACCGGCUAACUUCGUG